CGAAGUCAAAGGGUUGGAAAGUAAAUUGAAAAGCUAUAAUAUGCUGUCUACUAAUUUCAACCUCGAAAACAGUAAAGGUUCUGUAAUUUUUCUGAAGAAAGAAAUCGAAUACCGCCAAGUUUAUGUUGAUGAUCAAUACGACAUAAUUUUCAUGGAGAUUAAAAAGAACGACAAAUGGAUUUUGUUUGGAUUAAUCUAUAUUGGACCACGUGUACGUACUGCUGAAAAUAGAAAAAUACUAAAUAAAAUGAAAGCGAAAAUCGAUGAAUAUCCUCCUGAGAAGCGUAUAAUCGUUGGUGAUUUCAAUUGUGGUAUGAGUUAUUACGACGGUAUCGCUUACGAGACGAAACCCAAUUACUCUAAAGGGAUAGGAGAAGGGAUCUCUCAAUUUCAAAACAGUUUGGAUUUAUUACAAAUUGAACGAAGAUUAUAUCUGGUCUUAAUUCCUGGACGAGUCUGAACACGACAGAAAAUAUAACAUUCAACUAUAACAUAGCACCGCUAAAGAAUUUUCGCGGAGCGGAGACAUCCGAAUUUCUGUUGGCACCCCGUAAAUUAUACAAGGAUGGGUUUUGUGAUGUCCAGGAGCAUUCCAAC